AUUGAACGCUGGCGGCAGGCCUAACACAUGCAAGUCGAGCGGUAACAGGGAGUAGCUUGCUACUCCGCUGACGAGCGGCGGACGGGUGAGUAAUGUCUGGGGAUCUGCCUGAUGGAGGGGGAUAACUACUGGAAACGGUAGCUAAUACCGCAUAACGUCGCAAGACCAAAGAGGGGGACCUUCGGGCCUCUUGCCAUCGGAUGAACCCAGAUGGGAUUAGCUAGUAGGUGGGGUAAUGGCUCACCUAGGCGACGAUCCCUAGCUGGUCUGAGAGGAUGACCAGCCACACUGGAACUGAGACACGGUCCAGACUCCUACGGGAGGCAGCAGUGGGGAAUAUUGCACAAUGGGCGCAAGCCUGAUGCAGCCAUGCCGCGUGUGUGAAGAAGGCCUUCGGGUUGUAAAGCACUUUCAGCGAGGAGGAAGGCAUUAAGGUUAAUAACCUUGGUGAUUGACGUUACUCGCAGAAGAAGCACCGGCUAACUCCGUGCCAGCAGCCGCGGUAAUACGGAGGGUGCAAGCGUUAAUCGGAAUUACUGGGCGUAAAGCGCACGCAGGCGGUUUGUUAAGUCGGAUGUGAAAUCCCCGGGCUCAACCUGGGAACUGCAUUCGAAACUGGCAAGCUUGAGUCUUGUAGAGGGGGGUAGAAUUCCAGGUGUAGCGGUGAAAUGCGUAGAGAUCUGGAGGAAUACCGGUGGCGAAGGCGGCCCCCUGGACAAAGAC
rnacentral:rRNA from 1 species